AGAUCAUUUGCCUCGCUUCCUUCCUGAACUUAUCCGCAUUGCAGAACGCAGCCUACUAUGUGAAACAGGUUCUCUCCCAGGAAGGGCCUCUCCCAGGAGAGAGACUCCGCCCUGACUCUAGUUGAGUCUCCUCUCAGGAGAAGGCGUUUGGAUUGUGAUCAGAACUGUGGCAAGAAUUAAGUUUGUGAGCCCAGAUACCACUGUAUACGGAGCACACAAUUUCACCAAUAACAAAUUUCCAUAUAUGUAGAAGAAUCCAAGGAAAGAAAAUCAGUGGUGGUGUGAAGUUGGAGGAGCAAAUGGUGAGUGACUGCUAAUGAGUACACCGUUUGUUCUGCACUGCUGAGAACGUUCCGAAAGUAGGUUGUGGUGAAGGUCUCCUA
rnacentral:lncRNA from 1 species